rnacentral:tRNA from 1 species
GUUCCUGUAGUUAAGGUUUAUUAACGGCAGUUUUUCAAGCUGCAGAGCUCGGAGAAAGGCCGAGUGGGAAUU